CAGCUGCUGCUGUGUAUAAAAGGAGGGAGGAAGAGAGUCACCCCACCUCCACACCUCAUCUCAACUACUGCACUGACCGAACCCCAUCUCUUAUCCUUCCCAUCUCUGUUCUUUCCUCCCACCAGGGAAAGGGAAGGGGUAUAAAUAGCCCACCUCCAUCGCUCCCCUUCGGUUCAUGCCAACCACUACUUGCCUUUGAAGAAAGAAAGAAGUUCCACUGGUAUCACCGACUUCCCCUACUAGGGAAAGAGCAGAUACAUACAUAUCUGAAGACAGAAGCUGCAGCGGCGCGUUUCUGUUUGUUGUGCUACGCACCAAGUGAUCGAGCCUAGUGAGAGGACAGAGGGAGACACACCUGAAUCAUCCCUCACUUUCGCCACCUUUAUUGGCUGCCAAUAGCGACCGGCCGGUGUUACGUAAGAGAAGGAUGGUGGAGUCCAUGGCGGUCGUGGCGAUCAGGGAGUACGACGCGGAGCGGGACCGGGUGGGAGCGGAGGCGGUGGAGCGGAUGUGCGAGGUGGGGCACAGCGGCGGUGCCAUGUCCCUCUUCACCGACCUCCUCGGCGACCCCCUCUGCCGUGUCCGCCACUCCCCUCCCUUCCUCAUGCUGGUGGCAGAGCUGGUUAGCGGGCCGGAGAGGGAGAUCGUUGGGCUCGUCCGCGGUUGCAUCAAGACCGUGGCCUGCGGCACCCCCUUGUUAUUACCCUCCCCCGCGAAGCACCACACCGCCACCGCCGUCCCCAUCUAUGCCAAGGUGGCCUACCUCCUCGGCCUCCGCGUCUCCCCCGCUCACCGGCGAAGGGGGAUCGCGCUGAAGUUGGUGCGGAGGAUGGAGGAGUGGUUCAAGGAGAAGGGGGCGGAGUACGCGUACAUGGCGACGGAGAAGGACAACGAGGCGUCUUUCCGCCUCUUCACCGGGCGGUGCGGUUACUCCAAGUUCCGCAACCCGGCCAUUCUGGUGCACCCCGUGUUCGCCCACCGCCUUCCCCUCCCCCCACGCGUCGCCAUCCUCCGCCUCACGGCCGCCGAUGCCGAGGCCCUAUACCGCCGCCGCUUCGCCGCCACCGAGUUCUUCCCCCGCGACAUCGACGCCGUCCUGGCCAACCCGCUCUCCCUCGGCAGCUUCCUCGCCGUCCCCGCGGGCUGCUCCGCCGCGGCCCGGUGGGAGGGGGCCGGCGCGUUCCUGGCCGACCCGCCCGCCUCGUGGGCGGUGGCCAGCGUGUGGAACUCAAAGGAGGUGUUCCGGCUCGAGGUGCGGGGGGCAGGGCGGUGGCGGCGGGGGCUGGCGCGGGCGAGCCGGGCGGUGGACCGGGCGCUGCCGUGGCUGCGCAUCCCGUCGGUGCCGGACCUGUUCCGGCCGUUCGGGCUGUACCUGCUCUACGGGGUGGGCGGGGAGGGCCCCGCGGCAGCGGCGCACGUGCGGGCGCUGUGCGGGCAUGUGCACAACAUGGCGCGGGCGGACCCGGGCUGCCGGGUGGUGGCGGCGGAGGUGGCGGCGUGCGAGCCGCUCCGGGGAGGGGAUCCCCCACUGGGGCCGCCUCUCUUGCGCGGAGGACGUGUGGUGCGUGAAGCGCCUGGCGGAGGAGUACAGCGACGGGUCGCUCGGCGACUGGACCAAGGCGCUUUCCCCACCCUCCAUCUUCGUGGACCCCAGGGAAUUCUGAAUCGGACGGUCACGCUUCACCGGCUCGUCGUCUUCUUCUUCUUCCCUGUGUCUUAUCGAAAGCACAAGGACAACGUGACGGUGCACAAGGUGGCUGUUUCCGUCAU